UCAGUCGGUACCUUUUAUAAGUUGUUGACUGGCGGCAUUAAAAAACCCAUUUCACAACAAGCCGUUGAAAUGUCUGAGUUCGUAGAAUAUGGAAAACCGCAGUAACAGAGCCUUUCCCAAGAGACCUUUGGCUGAACUGAUUCGUUAUCUAAGUGAUAUAUCAGGAAGUGACUGUUUGUUGCAAAUUGCCUAUUGGACUUCAUGUGUUGUCCGGGUCUCAAGAAAGUACCUUUGGUGUCCCCCAUAGUGCCAUCUGGUGGACCAGAAGAAUCUAGUGGUAAAUGCAGAACAAAUCAAAUGAAAAACUACCGAAAAUCAAAGUAAUAUUCUAGUAAAGGAUUUGAUGGAAUGUUAAUGCUACUGAAUAUCUGGACGCGGAAACACCUCAUCCUCAAAGGAAUGAGCCACCACAAGAGCACCCAGGAACAAGGCUGCAAUCAGAUAGAUCUUCAUGGUUUUAGUACUAGGUUUUUGGUCUCGUCUUCAGCAGGAGUUACAACCCAAUGAUGCAGCUGUUCAAAGUCACCCUUUUUAUACCAUCAGAUAGGAACAGGAACAUGACACGUCAAAUAGUGGGUGGGUUCUUAUUUCUUUAUUCAUACUCUCGUAUUCUUUAGAAUCUAUAAAGUCUUGUCACAGUUGCUUGAUUCCAUUUCAUUCAAAGUAAAAAAAAAACAAUUGAAUUAAAGACGCCGAAAAAAUAAUGAGUUUUAUAUAACAUUAAGAAUUGAAUUGGAUUCUUGAAAUUUAGGUUUUUGGUCUCGUCUGCAGCAGGAGUUACAACCCAAUGAUGAAGUUGUUCAAAGUCACUCCUUGUUAUACCAUCAGAUAGGAAUACGAACUUGACACGUCACAAAGGGGUGGGUUACUUUGUCUUCAUGACUUCACAUGUUUUUUGUAUCCUAGUUGCUUGAUUCUAUUUUAUUCCAAGUAAGAAAACACUUGAAUUAAAGACGCCGAAAAAUCAAUGAG